UUAGGAAGACACAACAUCUUUGUUUGUAUGUGGUCCUGAGGAUCGAACCCGGGCCGCACGCAUGUCAGUCGAGCGCACUACCGCUUGAGCCACAUCCCAGCCCCAAGGGGAUGGUUCCCUAAUGACAUCUUUUCUGUGCUUAUUGGUAUUCUAUUUUAUUUUGUUUUGUUUAUCUGUUUGUUUUUUGAGACAUGGUUUCAUUAUGUUGCCCAGGCUGGCCUUGAACUCACAACCCUCCUGCCUCAGCUUCCUCCCAAAUAGCUGGGACCAUAGGCAUGUACUAUGACAUAAAUGGCUCUUAUAUAUCUUCUUUUUUAGGGAGAUUGGGGGGUAACUGUGGAUUGAACUUGGGCACUCGACCACUGAGCCACAUUCCCAGCCCUAUUUUGUAUUUAUUUAGAGACAGGGUCUCACUGAGUUGCUUAGCACCUUGGUUUUCUGAGGCUGGCUUUGAACUCAUGAUCCUCCUGCUCAGCCUCCCAAGCUGCUAGGGGAUUACAGGCAUGCGCCACCAUGCCCCACUUUUAUGUCUUCUUGAGAGAACAAUUUAGAUCCUUUGCCUACUUUUUUUAACAUUUUACUUUUAUAUAUAUAUAUUUAUUUAUUUUAUGUAUUUUUAUGUGGUGCCGAGGAUGGAAACCAGUGCCUUUUUUUUGUGAGGCAAGCACUCUAGCACUGAGCCACAGCCCCAGGCAAGGCCUACUUUUCAAUUGGGUUAAUUCCUUUUUAAUGUUUUUGUUGUUCUCCAUACUGGGGAUCAAACCCAGGAGCACUUUAUCACUGAGCUACAUCCUCAGUCCUUUUUAUUUUUUAUCGAGACUGGGUCUUGCUAACUUGACCAGGCUGGCUUUGGACUUAGGAUCCUGCUGCCCCAGCUUCCCAAAUAGCUGAGAUUACAGGGGUGCUCAGCUUUUUAUUGUUGAGUUACAAUAAUUUAUUUUUGUUAAUUGGCACAUUACAUUUAUGGAUAAAAGUGGGAUUCGUUGUAAUAUGUUCACACAUGCAUAGGGCAUGAUUUUGUCAGCUGCACUCCCAGGACCUCCCCUUUGCUUUCUCCUGAGCCCCCCUUCAUUUACUCUACUGAUAUACCUUCUGUUUUCACAAGGUCCUUUUUUUUUAACUCUUUUCUCUACAUAUAUUCUGGAAACUAAUUUCUUACCAACAGAAGAAUUGCAGAUAUGUUCUCCUGUUGUGUAGGCUCCCUUUGCACUUUUCUGAUAGUGUCCUCUGAAGUACAGAAGUUUUAAUUUUGAGGAAGCCCAGUUUAUUUUUUUUAUUUGGUUGCUUACAUUUUUGGUAGCAUUUCAGAAACCAUUGCCUAAUCCACAGUCCUAAAGACUCACAUCUGUGUUCUGUAGAGCUUUACAGUUCUGGCUGUUACGUUUAGGUCUCUGGCGCUUUUUGAUUAGAUUUUUGUGCAUGUGUGUAACAGGGCUCCAGCUUCAUUCCUUUCCAUGUGGAUAGCUAACUGUCCCAGCACCGUUUUUUGAAAAGACUAUUCUUUUCUUGCUGAUUUUUUUCUUGACAUUCGUGUUGAAAACCAACUGAACAUAUAUUUAAGUGUUUAAUUCUAGGCUCUCCACUGAUCGUCGUCUUAUGCUAGCACCAAAAAGCCUUGAUUACUGUAACUGUGAGGGUAUUUGAGUGUUCCAACUUUGCUCUUGUUUUUCAAGAUUGUUUUGGUAUUCUGGGUCCCUUGUGUUUCCAUAUAUCAUUUUUAUAUAAAUAUGUGUAUGUGUGUGUUUUUUAACUGGGGAUUUAACCUAGGCUCACUCUACCAUUGAACUAUACUACACUCCAGCCCUCCUUUAUUUUCAUUUUGAGACAGGGCAUUGCUGAGUUGCUAAGGCUGGCCUCAAACUUGACAUUCUCCUGCCUCAGCCUCCUCAGUCUUUGGGAUUACAGACAUGUUCCACUAUGCCUGGCCCCAUAUAAAUUUUUGGAUCUGCUUUUUCAUUUCUGCAAAAAAAGGCAGCUGGUAUUUUGAUAGAGAUUGCUAUUAAGUAUCCAAUCCUGGACAUGGGAUGUCUUUCUAGUUAUUUACAUUUUUUAGUGUCUUUCACUGAUGCUUUGUAGUUUUCAGUGUAUAACUAUUAUACUCCUUUGGUUAGAUUAUUCCUAUGGAUCUGGUUUUUAUGCUAUUAUAAAUAGCAUUUACUUAUAUCAUUAUUGCUACUGUAUAGAAAUAUACAGCUGAUUUUUGUAUGUUGAUCAUCUUUCUUGAAACUUCACUGAAUUUGUUUAUUCUCUAAUAUAUUUUUCUCUUUUGUGUGCAUUCUAUAGGGUUUUCUAUUUAUAGGAUCAUGUCACCAAUGAACAAAGAUAGUUCUUUACUCUUUUCCUUUCCGUUUUGGAUAUUUUUUUUUCCUUAUUUAAUUGUUCUGACUGGAACUUCCAUACUACAUUGAAUAGCAGUAGGGAAAGUAUAUCCCCAGUUGCAGGAAAAAGGCCUUUAGUCUCACUGUUGUUCUUCAUACUGAGGAUCAAACCCAGGAGCACUUUAUCACUGAGCUACAUCCUCAGUCCUUUUUAUUUUUUAUAGAGACUGGGUCUUAUAAUAUUAGCUGUGAGUUCUGUAAAU
rnacentral:lncRNA from 1 species